GAUGAACGCUGGCGGCGUGCCUAAUACAUGCAAGUCGAGCGAACGGACGAGAAGCUUGCUUCUCUGAUGUUAGCGGCGGACGGGUGAGUAACACGUGGAUAACCUACCUAUAAGACUGGGAUAACUUCGGGAAACCGGAGCUAAUACCGGAUAAUAUUUUGAACCGCAUGGUUCAAAAGUGAAAGACGGUCUUGCUGUCACUUAUAGAUGGAUCCGCGCUGCAUUAGCUAGUUGGUAAGGUAACGGCUUACCAAGGCAACGAUGCAUAGCCGACCUGAGAGGGUGAUCGGCCACACUGGAACUGAGACACGGUCCAGACUCCUACGGGAGGCAGCAGUAGGGAAUCUUCCGCAAUGGGCGAAAGCCUGACGGAGCAACGCCGCGUGAGUGAUGAAGGUCUUCGGAUCGUAAAACUCUGUUAUUAGGGAAGAACAUAUGUGUAAGUAACUGUGCACAUCUUGACGGUACCUAAUCAGAAAGCCACGGCUAACUACGUGCCAGCAGCCGCGGUAAUACGUAGGUGGCAAGCGUUAUCCGGAAUUAUUGGGCGUAAAGCGCGCGUAGGCGGUUUUUUAAGUCUGAUGUGAAAGCCCACGGCUCAACCGUGGAGGGUCAUUGGAAACUGGAAAACUUGAGUGCAGAAGAGGAAAGUGGAAUUCCAUGCGUAGCGGUGAAAUGCGCAGAGAUAUGGAGGAACACCAGUGGCGAAGGCGACUUUCUGGUCUGUAACUGACGCUGAUGUGCGAAAGCGUGGGGAUCAAACAGGAUUAGAUACCCUGGUAGUCCACGCCGUAAACGAUGAGUGCUAAGUGUUAGGGGGUUUCCGCCCCUUAGUGCUGCAGCUAACGCAUUAAGCACUCCGCCUGGGGAGUACGACCGCAAGGUUGAAACUCAAAGGAAUUGACGGGGACCCGCACAAGCGGUGGAGCAUGUGGUUUAAUUCGAAGCAACGCGAAGAACCUUACCAAAUCUUGACAUCCUUUGACAACUCUAGAGAUAGAGCCUUCCCCUUCGGGGGACAAAGUGACAGGUGGUGCAUGGUUGUCGUCAGCUCGUGUCGUGAGAUGUUGGGUUAAGUCCCGCAACGAGCGCAACCCUUAAGCUUAGUUGCCAUCAUUAAGUUGGGCACUCUAAGUUGACUGCCGGUGACAAACCGGAGGAAGGUGGGGAUGACGUCAAAUCAUCAUGCCCCUUAUGAUUUGGGCUACACACGUGCUACAAUGGACAAUACAAAGGGCAGCGAAACCGCGAGGUCAAGCAAAUCCCAUAAAGUUGUUCUCAGUUCGGAUUGUAGUCUGCAACUCGACUACAUGAAGCUGGAAUCGCUAGUAAUCGUAGAUCAGCAUGCUACGGUGAAUACGUUCCCGGGUCU
rnacentral:rRNA from 1 species